rnacentral:lncRNA from 12 species
UUUACUAUGUGCCAGGCCUUAUUUUAGGCACCAGGGUCACAGCUCUGAAACAAGCAAGACUCUCUGCUCUCAAGGGAGCGGACCUAUCCCUGGAGAGACAGGCAAAAAAAUAUGACUAGUAACUUAGAUAUAUGUUAUGUCUGGUCAUAAGGAGCACCAAGGAGGAAAAUAAUCAUGGUAAAGGUGACAGGGAAUGAUGGAGUUGUUGGUCACUGGGUAGAAGCGAGGGCAAGGCAUGCAGAUCUCUGAGGGAAGUGUGUUCCAGGAAGUGGGAACAGCAAGGGUGGUGGCCUCGAGGCUCAGGUGCUCGGCUUGUUCAAGGAAGCACUGAGAGGCCAGGGAGUGAGCAGAGUGAGUGAUGGAGAGAGCAGGAGAAGCUGAGCCCAGAGAUAGAAGGGGGGCAGAUUGUGCAGGGCCUCGGGCUACGGUGAGGACUUUGGCUUUUACUUUGAGUGAGGUGAAGCCAUGAGAGGUUUGUGAGCUGGGGAGGGGGAGAGCCAACUUAGGUGUUAACAGGACUCUCUCAUUGCCGGGUGGGAAUGAGCUCUGGGGGGCAAGGGUGGGUGGGAAUGAGCUCUGGGGGGCAAGGGUGGAAGCCUGGGGGGGGGGGAGUGGGGGGGUGGGGGGGAAUGCCGCUGCCGCCGUUCAGGUGAGGGACAAUGGUGGACAGUGGUGGCUAGAUCAAGUUGGUGGCCUGGGGGGAAAAGUGGGUGGUCAAAAUGUGUGUGUGUGUGUGUGUGUGUGUGUGUGUGUGUGUGUGUGAUUGGGAGGAGCCGCGGGGAAGCAUGGCCCUGGCACCACUGCGGUGGCGCUGUUGGACAGCUGGGCCCCCCAGCAGCAGGAUCCCUUAAAAGGAGAGCUGAACAGCACCAUAAACUGUUUCUAGUUCUUUCUGUGCAUAGAGUCAACCUCAUCCUCAAGCGGCUUCGCGGAGUGCCCACAGACCCAGGGACCGGUGAACUCAUUCCCAUCCCUGGAGAGACGGAGGCCUGGCCCCUCUUGGCGCGCCGAAGGGCUUUCCUUUGAUUUGAUUGGAUCAGCGCCGGUCACUUGACAAACCUGGACCCAAUGCCUGUGCCAAGGACAGUCAGGUGCGGUUGGUCAAGGCGUGGGUUCAUCCACUCCCUGGCAAGUGAAGGCGGGAUUACUCCGAAGGUUUAGACCAAUCAGGACCCAUCGCUGGAUGAGGCCCAAGCUGGUGGACCUCCCAAGUCUGCAGCCGAACUGCAAGGGGUGGGACUACCAGGAGGGGGCGCCGAAGAGUCGCCGUCCUCCCCGCGCCUAUCCCAGGCCUGGAAUCCAAGGUUUACAAUCAGAGCAGGAAUGUGCGAAGAUGCACGUGCAAGGGGCCUGCUAAUAAUUAUCUCUUGUCCCUUACCCACAAUUCCGAAUUCGAAAAAGUGGUAACAACCAAAAAAUAUCUCUUUGGUGGGGGUAGUGUCCAGUGUCCACUUUUGGCUCAGUGUCACAUGGUGGCAGAUCAACUAAUGUGAGUUAUUCACACUCUAUCUCCUUCUGGUGUGAAUUUUCACACGUGAUUUGCUGCAAAAAUAUUAACACGUCUGAUGGGGAGGGGGCUGCCUCAGACCCCUGGGAGUGUUACGCAAAAUACAGCAUUGGUUCAGAAUUACCUUUCUAAAAUUGGAACAAUUCUGCGUUCUGAAAUGCAUCUGUCCCCAAGGAACUCUGCUAAGGGAUUGUGGGCCUGUAAUUGGGCAUGCAGCCAAACCUAGAUUCAUCUUAAUUACUUGUUCAACAUUUAUUUAAUGGCUUUGGGAAGAAACUCAUUUUCCAUUACAAAAAAAAAAAAAAAAAGAGAGAGAGAGAGAACUGUGGUCAUUUACUAGGUCCCCUUUGUUAAUCAUGUGCUAUUUUUAGCAUCUUGUGCAUAUGUGGGUGUGACUAUGUGUCCAAAUGUAAGGCUGUGUCUCUUGUGUGUGUUACAUAUUGCUGUGUGUGUGUGAAUGCGUGUGCAUAUGUGGGUCUGUGUGAGAGUUUAUGUGAGUGUUUGAUUGUGUCCGUGUGUGACCAUCUAUCCUCUGCAAAAUUACUGAGAAUUUUUGCCGCCAAGCAAUACUCUGUAUUUCCACGAGAGGUCGCCUGUCUGCUUUGGCCAGAAGAAAUGUAAAACUACAUAUUUUGCCCUUUAAUCAGUUUUUCAAUUCUUGCAGAGAUGAGUCAGGAAGAGUUAGCUCAGGCUCAGCUCAGCUGAUCAUGGAGCAGAGGUUCUCAAACUUGUUACUCUCAGGAUUUUUUUUUACAUCCUUAAAAAUUAUUGAGGACCGGGGGACCUGGGUGGCUCAGUGUUUGAGCAUCUGCCUUUGGCUCAGGUCGUGAUCCAGGGGUUCUGGGAUCGAGUCCUAUGUCGGACUCCCCACAGGGAGCCUGGUUCUCCCUCUGCCUGUGUCUCUGCCUCUCUCUGUGUCUCUCAUGAAUAAAUAAAUAAAAUCUUUAAAAACA